rnacentral:rRNA from 1 species
CGAACGCUGGCGGCAGGCCUAAUACAUGCAAGUCGAACGGCCCUUCGGAGCAGUGGCGGACGGGUGAGUAACGCGUGGGAAUGUGCCCUUAGGUACGGAACAACACAGGGAAACUUGUGCUAAUACCGUAUGUGCCCUUCGGGGGGAAGAUUUAUCGCCUUUGGAGCAGCCCGCGUUGGAUUAGGUAGUUGGUGAGGUAAAGGCUCACCAAGCCGACGAUCCAUAGCUGGUCUGAGAGGAUGACCAGCCACACUGGGACUGAGACACGGCCCAGACUCCUACGGGAGGCAGCAGUAGGGAAUCUUGCGCAAUGGGCGAAAGCCUGACGCAGCCAUGCCGCGUGUAUGAUGAAGGUCUUAGGAUUGUAAAAUACUUUCACCGGGGAAGAUAAUGACGGUACCCGGAGAAGAAGCCCCGGCUAACUUCGUGCCAGCCGCCGCGGUAA